AUUGAACGCUGGCGGCAGGCCUAACACAUGCAAGUCGAGCGGAUGAAGGGAGCUUGCUCCUGGAUUCAGCGGCGGACGGGUGAGUAAUGCCUAGGAAUCUGCCUGGUAGUGGGGGAUAACGUCCGGAAACGGGCGCUAAUACCGCAUACGUCCUGAGGGAGAAAGUGGGGGAUCUUCGGACCUCACGCUAUCAGAUGAGCCUAGGUCGGAUUAGCUAGUUGGUGGGGUAAAGGCCUACCAAGGCGACGAUCCGUAACUGGUCUGAGAGGAUGAUCAGUCACACUAGAACUUAGACACGGUCCAGACUCCUACGGGAGGCAGCAGUGGGGAAUAUUGGACGAUGGGCGAAAGCCUGAUCCAGCCAUGCCGCGUGUGUGAAGAAGGUCUUCGGAUUGUAAAGCACUUUAAGUUGGGAGGAAGGGCAGUAAGUUAAUACCUUGCUGUUUUGACGUUACCAACAGAAUAAGCACCGGCUAACUUCGUG
rnacentral:rRNA from 1 species